ACUGUCCAACAGCUGCCAAGCUUUAUGGAUUCAAUGGGCACAGAAAUCACCAGCAUCUAUCGGCAUUUUUUUUUGAUUGAAAGGGAGGGUUAGCCACCCGUUUUAUUACUAAGAGAUAUUUACAUAUCUACGUCUAUAUAUAUAUACAAUGGAUUAAAAGUAGUAAAACCGCUUGGUCACUGUUUUUUCUAGAGGGGGAAA
rnacentral:lncRNA from 1 species